GACGAAGGGGGCUAGCGUUGUUCGGAAUUACUGGGCGUAAAGCGCGUGUAGGCGGUUGUCCAAGUCGGGUGUGAAAGCCUUGAGCUCAACUCAAGAAAUGCACUCGAUACUGGGCGACUAGAGUGCCGGAGAGGAUAGUGGAAUUCCCAGUGUAGUGGUGAAAUACGUAGAGAUUGGGAAGAACACCAGUGGCGAAGGCGGCUAUCUGGACGGUUACUGACGCUAAGACGCGAAAGCGUGGGGGAGCAAAACAGG
rnacentral:rRNA from 1 species